UGGGGAAUAUUGGACAAUGGGCGAAAGCCUGAUCCAGCCAUGCCGCGUGUGUGAAGAAGGUCUUCGGAUUGUAAAGCACUUUAAGUUGGGAGGAAGGGCAGUAAGCGAAUACCUUGCUGUUUUGACGUUACCGACAGAAUAAGCACCGGCUAACUCUGUGCCAGCAGCCGCGGUAAUACAGAGGGUGCAAGCGUUAAUCGGAAUUACUGGGCGUAAAGCGCGCGUAGGUGGUUCGUUAAGUUGAAUGUGAAAGCCCCGGGCUCAACCUGGGAACUGCAGCCAAAACUGGCGAGCUAGAGUAGGGCAGAGGGUGGUGGAAUUUCCUGUGGAGCGGUGAAAUGCGUAGAUAUAGGAAGGAAAACCAGUGGCGAAGGCGACCACCUGGGCUCAUACUGACACUGAGGUGCGAAAGCGUGGGGAGCAAACAGG
rnacentral:rRNA from 1 species